ACUAGCAACUUUUGUUAGGAAUUCCUAGCAUAUUGCCCUAGAUGAGAGACUCUGAGAGGAAAGAAGAAUGGAGAUCCUCUUGAGCAUCACAUUAAUGAUCCUGUGUCUUCAACUGGACUGGGUGAGAAGCCAAGAACAGUUGUCUCAAAGUCCUCAAUCCUUGACUGUUCAGGAGGGAGAGCAUGUCAGCAUGAACUGCACUUACAAAAACAGUGUCUUCACCUACUUUUCUUGGUACAAGCAGGAUUCUAGGAAAGGGCCAGAAUUGCUGAUGGACAUUCUUUCAAGUAUGGAUAAAAAAGAAAUUGGAAGACUGACAGUCCUGCUCAACAAAGUAGCCCUACACCUCUCCCUGAACAUCACUGAUGCCCAGCCUGGAGAUUCAGGAACAUAUUUUUGUGCAGUGGAUGCACAGUGCUCUCUGGGUACCUGUAGCCUGUGAAGAAACCCUGCAGGUGGGGCUCCGAUCUCACUACUUGUUCUCUAGAAAAGACUAUAAAGCUG